rnacentral:snRNA from 1 species
AUACUUACCUGGCAGGGGAGAUACCAUGAUCACGAAGGUGGUUUUCCCAGGGCGAGGCUUAUCCAUUGCACUCCGGAUGUGCUGACCCCUGCGAUUUUCCCAAAUGUGGGAAACUCGACUGCAUAAUUUGUGGUAGUGGGGGACUGCGUUCGUGCUUUCCCCUA